rnacentral:lncRNA from 1 species
GGAAAAACAGGAAAUCUGCAGAUGCUGCUUUUAUUAGAAUCUAUGGCUUAAGUUGGAAAGGACCUUAAAGGUCAUUAUUUCCCUGCUCUUCCCAGCCAGCCCUCUUCCCCUGUGCACCCCCGGCCCUCCACGCUGCACCCAGCGUGCAAGGAGCAUCCUGGCAGCAGGGACAGUUAGGUUUUGGCCAGCGGAGAAAGCUGGAGGUGUUCCAGGAGAGCUGUCACAAUGCAAGUCUGGGCCAACUCAACGCGGCAGCGAGAGGAGGACCAGUUGCAGCUCGAGUCUGAGCACCUAGAUGGCCACAACGCCCUUCACGUGGCUGCAGAUGACUGUGGGGCUGCCGGCACCAUCCCGCUCAGUGCAUCUGCCAGGGAGGCUGAGGUGCCUGCCCCGGUGCUUCCACCACCCAUCCACCUAACCCAAGCUCCUUAUGUUUAACCACAUGGGACGCGGGGCCCAACUCUGCACCUUCCACUGCAUUGGGCAUUUCUGGAUUGGCGGGGGUCUUUGACGAGCAAUAAGCAGUUGCCUUUGGGCACGUAGAGUCUGUUGGACUGGAACUCAGCUCUGGGGAAAACACGAGGGCUCUGCUCUGCUCCCCUGGGUAACUGCACAGCCUCAGGGGAGCACCCAAGCUCCGUGCAGGCAUGGAUCUGUGCAGGAUCUUCUCAAAGCUGGCAACUACCGUGACAUGCAACAAAGGGAAACUGACAAAUCACAAACGUGGAGCAUGAAAACCAAAGAUACGCCACAAUUUUACUUACGGGUGUGUAAUAAAUAAAUGGUGGACAAAACAGGAACAGCCACAUUCAAAAAUCCAGAUCACUAAAGUGCUUUUAAGACAUAAAUAUAGGACGACCAAGAA